UACGGAGGGUGCAAGCGUUAAUCGGAAUUACUGGGCGUAAAGGGUGCGUAGGCGGUUGUUUAAGUCUGUUGUGAAAUCCCCGGGCUCAACCUGGGAAUGGCAAUGGAUACUGGGCAGCUAGAGUGUGUCAGAGGAUGGUGGAAUUCCCGGUGUAGCGGUGAAAUGCGUAGAGAUCGGGAGGAACAUCAGUGGCGAAGGCGGCCAUCUGGGACAACACUGACGCUGAAGCACGAAAGCGUGGGGAGCGAACGGG
rnacentral:rRNA from 1 species